GAUAAACGCUGGCGGCGCACAUAAGACAUGCAAGUCGAACGGAAGUCGUUGUAAUGAAAUAGAAACGGACAGAGAACUUGUUCGAAGAAAGUGGAAGUAGACUUACAACAAUGGCUUUAGUGGCGGACUGGUGAGUAACGCGUAAGGAACCUGCCUUCUAGAGGGGAAUAACAAUGAGAAAUCAUUGCUAAUACCGCAUAUGCCGAGAGAAUCACAUGGUACAAUCGGGAAAAGAGUAAUCUGCUAGAAGAUGGCCUUGCGUCUGAUUAGAUAGUUGGUGGGGUAACGGCCUACCAAGUCGACGAUCAGUAGCCGGACUGAGAGGUUGAACGGCCACAUUGGGACUGAGAUACGGCCCAGACUCCUAUGGGAGGCAGCAGUCGGGAAUAUUGCGCAAUGGAGGAAACUCUGACGCAGUGACGCCGCGUAUAGGAAGAAGGUUUUC
rnacentral:rRNA from 1 species